CUAUACUCCACAAAUUUUAUCUCUUGUUAUUUCCGCCUCUCUCUCACACCAGAAAACCCUUUUCCUCUUUCUGCCUUUCUGUAGUCUUGCAUCUUUCUCACACUCACUCGUCGUGCCGCACAGAUCUUCCCACCUCGCCUUCUCCGGCAACAGCUGUAGUACGGUACGUCUCCUUUUUUCAUCGCCCCAUCCGCCUCGCCUCUCACUCGCCGCCACAGUCUUCUCCGCUAACAGCCGCAAAAGGGGAAAUCAGCAGUAGCGUUGCAAGCGUCGAGAAGUUUGCCUCUACAGUUGCAUCAGUCCGCCUCUCUGACCUCCGCGGCUCUGUGGAUGAUGGGUUUGGUUUCUGAAAAAUUGAGAAAAUUUUGAAGAACUCUCGACAACUGCCACAGUUUUUGUAAGCGUUUCAGUUUUUACAACUAUCAUAUUCAAUUUUAGCGGAAAAAAUUUGUGUUUUAGCGGGAAUAAGUUACCGUUUAACUGGUCUUUUAUAUAGUAUAUAGAUUCCCAUGCCAUCCGGGCAUCCCCAAUUCAGUCCCCCCAUUCCCAAAAAUUGAAAAUUGAAACCUUCCCUACCGAAUAAUCCAACGCACCGCCGCCUCGUGGCCCCACUCCGAAGCCUAGGCCAGUCGGCGUAGCCGCGCAGCGCCAACCUCGCCCAGUCCAGAUUCUCCAGUCUCCACCCUCGCGGGUUGCGGCCUCGCCAAUCCACCGUAAGCUUUAAUAUUAGCCCUUUCUUCUAGACUUCCAGUUCCAGUUGGGACAUGAUACAUAUUGAUUGUUGAAAGUAUUUUCCAUAGGCUUUGUCGAAAAUCAUUGUUUCUUCUGUUAAAAAUAAGAAAAUUGGUGCCAAUCUCUUCCUCCCCAUAGCUUGCAAGUUGCAAUCCUUGUUGGUUCAUGAUGUUUGCGAAAAUGGUAGAAUAAAAUUUGUUGAAUAUUAGUAGAAUUUUCGAAAUUAAAGAUCGGUGUCGGGUAGGUUAGUACAAUUAGCUAAAUAUCGGGUCGAGAUCCGACAAAAUCAGGUUGGAUAUCCAACCCGGACCCGAUGUACACCCGUCUAACUGCAAGUAAGAAUAAACAAAUCCAUUUCUGAAUUUCUGCAACUUAGAAAUUUUGGCGAGAGAGAAAGAAGAAGAGUGAGAAAACAAAAUGAGUUCAUCAAUGGAAGUCGCGAAUACAGCAGCAAAAGCGGCGUACCGAAGUCUUCUUCGAGCGGUGAGGAAACACGUCGGGAAAGAAAACCACAAAUCCCAUUUCACGGAUUUCAUCAAACACGAAUUCAGAAGAAAUCUUAGCUCCCAAGACCCACAAAAUCUGAAGCUCGCGCAGGAUUACACUGUCUAUCUCAACAGCGUACACCAUCAGAAGGAACUGCUCUUCUCGUACAAUAUCGCAGUGGAUAGGUCUGCUGAGAUGAAAAAAGUACUAGGAAAAUCUGCUGCCAGUGUAGGUCUCCAGCUGCCCGAAGUUUAUCAGGCUUAAUAGAUGCAACCGAAUCCGCAGAGCAAGCAAACGGCAUUGAGCGGCGGAGUGCUAGAAUUCGAAUUGUGUGAUUUGUUUUCAUUAUUAAUCCUUUUAGCUCGAUGUUUGAUAAGUCUUUCAUUCACUAGCCCGAAUGAACUACUUAAAUGUUACUCCCUCGGUCCUAAUUUAAUAGGCCACAUUUCAUUAAUUGAAUGUUAUAUUUCAAUAGGUCA